rnacentral:rRNA from 1 species
AUUGAGCGCUGGCGGCAGGCUUAACACAUGCAAGUCGAGCGGAGUGAUGGUGCUUGCACUAUCACUUAGCGGCGGACGGGUGAGUAAUGCUUAGGAAUCUGCCAUUUAGUGGGGGACAACAUUCCGAAAGGAAUGCUAAUACCGCAUACGUCCUACGGGAGAAAGCAGGGGAUCUUCGGACCUUGCGCCAAAUGAUGAGCCUAAGUGGGAUUAGCUAGUUGGUGGGGUAAAGGCCUACCAAGGCGACGAUCUGUAGCGGGUCUGAGAGGAUGAUCCGCCACACUGGGACUGAGACACGGCCCAGACUCCUACGGGAGGCAGCAGUGGGGAAUAUUGGACAAUGGGCGGAAGCCUGAUCCAGCCAUGCCGCGUGUGUGAAGAAGGCCUUUUGGUUGUAAAGCACUUUAAGCGAGGAGGAGGCUACUAGUACUAAUACUACUGGAUAGUGGACGUUACUCGCAGAAUAAGCACCGGCUAACUCUGUGCCAGCAGCCGCCGUAAAAC